rnacentral:rRNA from 1 species
GACGAACGCUGGCGGCGCGCUUAACACAUGCAAGUCGAGCGAUGAAACUUUAACAGAACCCUUCGGGGCGAAGAUACAGUGGAUUAGCGGCGGACGGGUGAGUAACACGUGAGUAACCUGCCUUCUACAUUGGGAUAGCCUCGGGAAACCGGGAUUAAUACCACAUCAAAUCAUAAUGACACAUGUCAUAACGAUCAAAACUCCGGUGUUCUAAGAUGGACGCGAGUCCCAUUAGCUAGUUGGUAGAGUAAAAGCCUACCAAGGCGACGAUGGGUAGCCGGCAUGAGAGGGUGAACGGCCACAGUGGAACUGAGAAACGGUCCAAACUCCUACGGGAGGCAGCAGUGGGGAAUAGUGCACAAUGGAGGGAACUCUGAUGCAGCGACGCCGCGUGAACGAAGAAGGCUUUCGAGUCGUAAAGUUCUUUUAUAUGGGAAGAUAAUGACGGUACCAUAAGAAAAAGCCCCGGCUAACUACGUG